GCCCGGGUGGCGGAAUGGCAGACGCAGAGGGCUUAAACCCCUCGGCUCUUAACAGGGCGUGUGGGUUCGAAUCCCACUCCGGGCAC
rnacentral:tRNA from 1 species